CUUGUAGCAAACGUAAUGCCCUCUUACUUACGUCAUGUGUGAUAUUAGACGAAUAAUAUAGACGAAACACUGAUUCCCUGAGUCAAUCAUACGCAAACCGUCAUUAAAAUACGUUUUAAGACGCGAAUGCCUUUUUCUGUCUUACACCGGGACUUUUAUUAUGACGUGUCAGCAGGAUAUUGGUUGUUUUUCGGUCUCUUAUUACCGGAGUUUUCAUUGAACCUGCGAGCAGUAAGAGAGGGGCAAACGGGUUCCCGCAUCCAUUGUUAUUUUACUUUCAUUUUUUUACCGGAUGACCACAACGCAUCUCUGAACGGGACGCCCAACGCGGACUACCCACCAUGUCUUCCGAGGAGGAGAGGGGGGUAGUUCGUGUUCAGGUCAAGAAGUGUGAAGGGGUGUUACCGCCGGAGUUUCGCUCCUUUGCUGUUGAUCCUCAAAUAACCUCACUGGAGGUGUUGCAGCAUAUCUUGAUACGAGCAUUUGAGCUGAAUGGAAAACGCAACUUUGGGAUAAGUUACCUGUCCCGUGACCAAGGAGGUGUGGAGGUCUACGUGUCUCUGCUGUCUGACUGGGAUUUAGAUGCAGCAUUUGUCAGUGCUGCAAAGCCCUUUCUCCAACUCAAGAUGGACAUCAGACCAUCAGAGGACAGUCCUGUUUUGGAGGACUGGGACAUAAUCAGUCCUAAGGAUGUGAUUGGCUCAGACCAGCUGCAGGGAGAGAAGAGGUCGUUGGCAUCUGCCGCACUUCCUUUCACACAGUCGCUGCUCUCCCAGGUGGGUCGCACUCUAUCGCGUGUGCAGCAGGCCUUGAGUUGGUCCUAUGGGGAGGAGGUGAAACCAUUCAAGCCUCCCUUAAAUGAUGCUGAGUUCCACAGUUACCUGAACAGCCAAGGUCAACUGACCCGACCAGAGGACCUUAGACUUCGUAUAUACCAUGGUGGGGUUGAGCCAUCCUUACGCAAGGUUGUUUGGCGAUACCUCCUUAAUGUGUACCCAGAUGGUCUCACAGGACAAGAGAGAAUGGACUACAUGAAGAGGAAAACAAGAGAGUACGACCAGCUCAAGAGCGAAUGGACAGAACGGGUCAGCACAGAGGACCUGGAGUUCAUCAGGGGAAACGUUCUGAAAGAUGUUCUUCGAACAGACAGAGCACAUCCUUACUAUGCAGGAUCAGAGGACAGCCCACAUCUAACCGCCUUGACAGACAUUCUCACCACCUUUGCUAUUACACACCCACAGGUGUCUUAUUGCCAAGGCAUGAGCGACAUUGCCUCGCCAAUUCUAGCUGUCAUGGACAACGAAGCUCAUGCCUUUAUCUGCUUCUGUGGCAUUAUGAAACGUCUUGAGGGCAACUUUCGCCCUGACGGACAACUUAUGUCCAUUAAGUUCCAGCAUCUGAAGUUGCUACUGCAGUAUUCAGACCCUGAGUUUUAUGCCUACCUAGUCUCAAAAGGUGCAGACGAUCUGUUUUUCUGUUACCGCUGGCUGCUUUUGGAGCUGAAGCGUGAAUUCGCUUUUGAUGAUGCUCUGAGAAUGCUUGAGGUCACCUGGAGCUCCUUGCCACCUGAUCCACCUGAGACAGAGGUGGAGCUUCAGGGGCUACCACAUGAGCCAGAUCAGUCCAGUGGCUCACAGAAUGUCCAUCAGAAUGUGGACAUGGAGGAGAUGGAAGAGAAGCAGAAGGAAAGGCAGAGGAGACGUCACAUGCUAAGACCAUCCCGAGAGGAGGCAGAUGGGGGACGUAGCCUCAUCGUAGAGGAGGAGGAGAAGAGGCCUCGGAAGGAAGGUGAAGGAGAGUUCGGUGUAGAUGACAUGGUCAAGAAUGAUGUCACAGCUCCAGUGCCCUCCUUUGAGAAACAGGCAAGUUUUGGGGAAUUCAAGUACUAUAGUGGCCGAAGUGAGGACAGCUUUGAUAUCAAUGAAAACGAUUGCUCUGAUCCUACAUUAUCUCCAGUACAGUUUCAGUCUGCACACUCCACGUUGCCAUUCUCUGUCCGCCAGUCCACAGAGGAAAGUGAGGAUGACCCUGGAGAGCAGGAACCUCUCAUCGGUAAUCUUACGCCUUCUUCUCCAGGACAAAGAGACUCUCCCAAUGGUCAAGCUGCUUCCCCAGCAUCAUCUCUUCCUUCCGGCCUACCAAAUUGGAAGAGUAGCUCUAAUCAUUCACCGGAAGCAUCUAAUUCUCCAUCUAGCUGGAGAACGGCAUCUCCCGAUGACCUUUCAAAAUGCACAACCUCUUCCUCUAGUGGGGACAAAGCGGUGUCUCCUGAUAAACCUCCUGGGGGGUUCACGUCCUCACAAACUGAGGCUCAGUCCCCAUCAGUGGUCCCAGGGAAAUCUUUCCUGGCGUCUCCAUCGCAGAGUUACAAUCGUUCGCGUCUCUCUUCUCCGGUUUUAUCCUUCGGCAAAUCCCCAUCUCUGCCCAAAGCGUUUUACAGCAAUCUUCCCUCACCAUGCAGGCCCACCGCCUCUGUCAUAACCUCUCCAAACACAAACAAACCAGAAGGAGGAGGAAUGAAACCCUGCUCGCUUCCUCCUCCUCAAGAGUUUGGGAAAGGGAAUCCCUUCAUGCUUUUCCUUUGCCUGUCUAUCCUGCUGGAACAUCGUGACCACAUUGUCAAAAACAGCCUGGAUUACAAUGAGCUGGCCAUGCACUUUGACCGCCUGGUCCGUCGCCACAACCUUGGGCGUAUUCUGCACCGAGCUAAAGCCCUCUUUGCAGACUACCUGCAGAGUGAGGUAUGGGACUCGGAGGAAGGGGAUGAAGUCAGCUUGGACUCCCCAACCACAGCAGCAACAUCCCCCCAGACACCCACCACUAGACCUCCUUUCCUCAAUGUACAGCCCUCUCAGGGUACCUUAUCGAAUUCAACAUAUAAUCUAGCCAAUACCAUUCCCUCUCCAACAACUCCUGUUGCCCUCUCUCCAUCUGAUUCCUGAUCCUGUGCAGUAGUAGAUUAUCUCGAGAAACCAGCUGUUGACCACAGUUGCAGUCACAGCACAACUUUGUGCUUUACACAUGCUUAAUGAGACUUGUGUUGUUUUAUAUCAACAACCAAAGCUUAGUGACUUUCUCAUCUCAUGAUUUUCUCCCUGUCCAUCAAGUCAAGUCCCUUUUAUUGUACUGUAUCUUUUUUAUUGCACUUUAUUGAUUGUCCUUUGAAAGGGCAGGCCAGUUUGAGUCUCAUUUCACUUUGUAAAUAACACUUUUGAAAGGCACAUUACGGACAUAUAAAACAUGUUAUAGUAAUCUAACUUACCUAAAACAAAGCAACAAGAUUAUACUGUUAUUUAUGCAAAAUGUGUGCAAUCUUUAUUUCGGUAAAAAGGAUGUCAUUUGUUGUAGGGAAGUGAACAUUUACUCAAGUAAAGAUUUUGAGAUGCUCCCUGAAAUUUAUUAUGAAUUUGUUUGACAUUGCCAGCAGCAAAGGUGUAUUUGUUAUUCCAGAUAUUUGUUAUUUAUGCUUUUUAAGAGCCUUAAGCCUUGACAUUUGGUAAUAUGAAACAUCUGGCCUGAGAUGGUGCUGAUGUUUUAUCCAGUAUCCCGUCAAUGUGAAACCUUCUGUUGUAGAAUAGGUACACUCAGCCCCAAUCUUGAAUCGAUCUCUGAACUACCAGUAGAAAUCCUCUGCUUUUUGACCUUUCAGCUGUAACUCGUGCAGUGGAUGAUUUGGUAAAGCAGCACUCCUACUAAGAUGAACAAGGAGAAUGGCUGUGCUAAAAUGAUAGACCUCUGCACAUGGACUAAAAGGUGAUUUUCCUGAAAAGUGUAACAGUGGUGAGUCCAGUUUGUCAGCGUUGUCUAUACAUGUAUGUUUGUUUCUCUAAUUUUAGUUUGGUUCUGUAUGAUAGUAUUUUACACAAACCUAUGGAGAGACUUGCAAUACUCCUAUUUAUAAAAUAAAUUCACAGAAUAUUAAUUGAUUAUAGUGAUCUUUCUUUGCACACACAAAGAUUUUAAUGCAAUUCCUGCUGGAAAUGCUUCUUAAUCAGUUUUUUUGGAACAUGGUAGCUGGUUUCCAGCUGGUCUAAGAUGGUAGAGCGUCUCGGAGCAGCAACAGACUCCCAACUGGCUGGUCGAGCUGGUUUUUAAGAGUUUGAAAUAUAGUCACUCGGAUAAGUGAUGAUUACCAAGAGAAAGCUUUUGCUUUCCUGACUAAUUGACAUAAGUGGAUAUGGAUAUGCGUCUUGAUGUGGUAGUCAUAAGAUACCUGCUUAGGCAUUACAUUUUAGUUUUUAUUUAUUUAUUAUGGUGUUAUUAUGUUGCUUCUUGUAACAUCAUUGGCCUUGGAUAGUCUUGGAAGCAUUAUUGUUUGUAUCAAAAAAUUUUCGCUGUUGCCACCAGCGCCAUGUCAUGGAGAAGCUGUGUGUUUCCUUGUGAAUGCGAAACUACUUUGUUUGGUCUACCCAAAGAGGACACAACUAGAAUCCAGUGGUUAAGCUGUAAUUAUAACACUGUUCCAGAACAAUUCAACCCAAAUAUUAAGAUGAGCGCAGCCGUUUUAUGGAAUACUACUUCCUGAUCCUGGGAGAGAAGACUACAAUGUCGGCUGUUCUGACUCACAGCCUGUAAGUACAUUGAAAUAUUUAAGGAUUUAAGACUGAUGAUUCAAACGCGAGUUUUAAAGUAGUGUACAGUAGCUCUUGUUGUUUGUCUUUUCUCCCAUCAUAAGUGGCCUGUGAAGUGAACAUCCCGGGAUAUUCAGCCUUGAUUCCAGUUCGAAGCGUUGCAGAAGUAUGUGUUCCAUUCAAAUGUAUAUCUGUAACAUAAACAUAUGAUGUACUUAUUAAUUGGGCUAAUUUCCAUUUCUUAUGUGUAAUUUAAAUUGUGGCACAAUAAACCAACUACAGUCAUCUUAAAAA